rnacentral:rRNA from 1 species
AGCAGUGGGGAAUUUUCCGCAAUGGGCGAAAGCCUGACGGAGCAAUACCGCGUGAGGGAGGAAGGCUCUUGGGUCGUAAACCUCUUUUCUCAGGGAAGAAGACAAUGACGGUACCUGAGGAAUAAGCAUCGGCUAACUCCGUGCCAGCAGCCGCGGUAAUACGGAGGAUGCAAGCGUUAUCCGGAAUGAUUGGGCGUAAAGCGUCCGCAGGUGGCAAUGUAAGUCUGCUGUUAAAGAGUGAGGCUCAACCUCAUAAGAGCAGUGGAAACUACAUAGCUAGAGUACGUUCGGGGCAGAGGGAAUUCCUGGUGUAGCGGUGAAAUGCGUAGAGAUCAGGAAGAACACCGGUGGCGAAGGCGCUCUGCUAGGCCGUAACUGACACUGAGGGACGAAAGCUAGGGGAGCG